rnacentral:lncRNA from 1 species
CGUCCUGAUUCGACCGUCCACAGUCCAUUGUAGAGAGGGCACUCUUUGACGAUGCCUACAACAAGGAAAACAGAGCCCUCAAAGUGCCAAAGCAUCGACCUCCGGCAAAGACUUAAGCGCGCUUCGUCUAGAGAUGACCGGCACGGCCAUCACAACACCGAUGGAGCUCCGCCAAUGCUGACGGCCGGCACCACCCCCACCCCCUACAGUCGGGGCCACAGGGCCACCUCCUCAACGCCGACCAUCGCACGCUCUGUCCAUGGCCCACUCAGGCCCGGAUUGGGGCCGCCGCCAGAGCUUCUUCUCUCCUUUCCAAUUGGCCUCUUUGAUGAUUUUUGUUUUGUUUUGUUUUGAGUGUUGAGUUGGGUAUUUUUUGUUGUUGCAAUGUAACUCUCUUACAAAUAUUACUUGUGGUUCCGCAUGGCUGCUUAGACAUUGGUUGAGUUGUUGUCCAAUGUAGCUUUGGAAUUCCAACUAAAUGAGAAUAUCUUUCAUAUGAAUUGAAUAUCUUGGUUGACCAUUGAGAAUUGAACCACUUUCAAGCUAGGGGCAGGUGCGCGCGCGCGAAUCUCUUCCUGAAAAUGAAAUGAGAUUCCUGUAAAAUACAAAAAGUUCAGGUAUAUUCUAUGGCCCACGUCCAAACAAAAUUAGGUACUGUACCAUGCAUGUUGGUUUGCUUGCACUUUGCAACUUUCAUCCUUUCUUUCUUUUUUGAAAAAACUUGC